AGCAGCGGAGCGGGGCGUUUGCCGGCGCCGCGGGUUGCGGCCGGCGGGCUGCACCCGGUGCCCGCGUUUUCGGAGCUGCCGCGGCGGGGGCUGCCGGCGGGCGUGCGGCCGCGGAUCCUGCUCGCAGCCCCCAUCUCUUUUAUGAGCAGCGAGGCGCAGGAGCAGCAGCGCGGGACACCAGGAAGAGCAUUUCUUCCCCGGGGUUUAUGAAUGGCACUGACAUGGAGGAAAUACCGUUUCAGAAAGUCAAGACCAAGAGGAAGAAGUGCUGCCACUGCUGCUGUUCCGCGCCGGCUGCCGCGGCGGCGGGAGCGGGAGCCGGGCUGGGGGACCCCCCUCCCUUGCUUCUGCUGGAUGCCAUCGCUUGCGAGGACGAAUUUGACUGCAAGGAGCUUGAGGCUCUCUUCCAGAGCUACAACCUAAAGCUGGAGCAGACAUCCACCCUUAAGGCGCUGGCCGUCCUCAUCGUGCUCACCGCCAGCCUGGCCCUGGUGGAGUUGCUCUCUGGCCCCAGCCUGACCAUCUCCAAAGGCUCUCACCCGGUGCACUGCAUCAUCUUCCUCUCCCUCUUCAUCGUCACCAAUGUCAAGUACCUGCAGGUCACCCAGCUGCAGCAGAUCGUCAAGCUCACCUUACUCUUCAGCUUCACCUUCUCUUUCCUCUGCUGCCCCUUCUCACUCGGCGCCUAUGGCAUGGAGCCCCCCAGCGCCCCCGAGCAGGGCAUGUGGCAGCUCAUGCUGGUCACCUUCGUCUCUUACUCGCUGCUGCCCGUCCGGACCCUGCUGGCCAUCGUCUUCGGGCUGGUGGUGUCCGUCUCCCACCUUAUCGUCACAGCCACCUCCGUCAGUGCCAACCGGCAGCGGCUCUGGAGGACGCUUGUGGCCAAUGCAAUCCUUUUUGUCAGUGUAAAUUUGUAUGGGGUCUUUGUGAGGAUUUUGACAGAAAGGGCUCAGAGGAAGGCAUUCCUUCAGGCCAGGAACUGCAUUGAGGACAGGCUGAGGCUGGAGGAUGAAAAUGAAAAACAGGAACGUCUCUUGAUGAGUCUUUUGCCCAGGAAUGUUGCAAUGGAAAUGAAGGAAGAUUUCCUGAAGCCUCCUGAAAGGAUUUUCCACAAGAUUUACAUUCAAAGGCAUGACAACGUUAGUAUUUUGUUUGCAGAUAUUGUGGGGUUCACAAGUUUGGCGUCACAAUGUACUGCCCAAGAGCUGGUGAAACUGCUGAAUGAGCUCUUUGGCAAAUUUGAUGAAUUAGCUACAGAAAACCACUGCAGAAGAAUAAAAAUCCUAGGAGACUGUUACUACUGUGUAUCAGGAUUGACCCAGCCCAAAACAGAUCAUGCCCACUGCUGUGUUGAAAUGGGACUAGAUAUGAUUGACACCAUCACGUCUGUUGCAGAAGCCACAGAGGUUGAUCUCAACAUGAGAGUUGGAUUGCAUACAGGCAGGGUGCUUUGUGGAGUCCUGGGUCUCCGAAAAUGGCAAUAUGAUGUCUGGUCAAAUGACGUGACUUUAGCUAAUGUCAUGGAAGCUGGAGGACUGCCUGGGAAAGUUCACAUUACAAAGACCACCUUAGAGUGCCUAAAUGGGGACUACGAGGUAGAACCAGGACAUGGUCAUGAAAGAAAUAGUUUCUUGAAGAAGCAUAAUAUUGAAACAUACUUUAUUGUGCCAUCUCAUCGUAGGAAGAUAUUUCCUGGACUGAUUCUCUCAGACAUUAAGCCUGCCAAAAGAAUGAAGUUCAAGACUGUUUGCUACCUGCUUGUUCAGCUCAUGCACUGUCGUAAGAUGUUCAAAGCAGAGAUCCCUUUCUCCAAUGUCAUGACGUGUGAGGAUGAUGAUAAGAGGAGAGCAUUAAGGACAGCCUCUGAAAAACUCAGGAAUCGUUCCUCUUUUUCUACCAAUGUUGUAUACAACACUCCAGGAACUCGAGUAAACAGAUACAUCAGUCGUUUGAUAGAGGCCCGGCAAACUGAGUCUGAGAUGGCUGACUUGAACUUCAUUACACUGAAGUAUAAGCAAGCUGAGCGCGAAAAUAAAUACCACCAGCUUCAGGACGAGUACUUCACCAGUGCUGUAGUUCUCUCACUAAUUCUAGCUGCCUUAUUUGGCCUUGUCUACCUUCUAAUAAUACCACAGAGUACCGUAGUUCUCGUUCUUCUGGUUUUCUGCAUAUGCUUCCUAGUGGCUUGUAUUAUGUACCUACACGUCACACAAGUACAAUGUUUUCCAGGGUGCCUGACAAUACAAAUUCGUACCAUUUUGUGUAUUUUUAUUGUGAUCUUAAUAUACUCUGUGGCUCAAGGAUGUGUGGUUGGCUGUAUGCCUUGGGUUUGGAAUAUCAAUUCCAGCAGUUCAAUAGUUAUAAUUUCUUCUGGUGGAACAAAUAAAACAAUGAAUGAACUUCCAUGUGACACAGCCCACUAUGCUUUCCUUUCCUGUGUCGUGGGGACUCUCACCUUGGCAAUAUUUCUACGAGUAUCUUCCUUGCCAAAAAUGAUUCUUCUGCUUUUUGUUACAAUUUUGUACAUAGUUAUUCUGGAACUCAGUGGUUACAGAAAAGCGGUGGGGGGUGGCUCCUUUUAUAUGCGUGGCUAUGAACCAAUACUAGCCAUUUUGCUAUUUUCUUGUGCUUUGGCACUACAUUCCAGACAGGUGGACUUGAAGCUGCGUCUGGACUACCUCUGGGCUGUGCAGGCAGAAGAAGAGAGAGACGAUAUGGAGAGAGUCAAGCUGGAUAAUAAAAGAAUUCUCUUCAACCUGUUGCCAGCACAUGUUGCACAGCACUUUCUUAUGUCUAAUCCAAGAAAUAUGGACCUUUAUUACCAGUCAUAUUCACAAGUGGGAGUGAUGUUUGCUUCCAUCCCAAAUUUCAAUGAUUUUUACAUCGAAUUGGACGGCAAUAAUAUGGGAGUGGAAUGUUUACGCCUUUUAAAUGAAAUCAUUGCUGAUUUUGAUGAGUUUUAUGUUUUAAACAAAGCUUAUGGACAAAGAAUAUUAUAAGGACAUAGAAAAAAUCAAGACAAUUGGAAGUACAUAUAUGGCAGCUGUGGGACUCGUACCUACUUCGGGAACUAAGGCUAAAAAAUCAAUUUAUUCCCAUCUGAGUACACUGGCAGAUUUUGCAAUAGAGAUGUUUGACGUUCUUGAUGAAAUCAACUAUCAGUCUUACAACGACUUUGUCCUAAGAGUUGGUAUUAAUGUCGGGCCAGUAGUGGCUGGAGUCAUUGGAGCCAGAAGACCACAGUAUGAUAUCUGGGGAAACACUGUAAAUGUUGCCAGCCGGAUGGAUAGUACAGGAGUACAAGGGAAAAUUCAGGUGACAGAAGAAGUUCAGCGGAUAUUAAAAAGGUGCAGUUAUGAAUUCAUGUGCAGGGGUAAAGUCAGUGUAAAGGGAAAAGGCGAAAUGUUGACCUAUUUCCUGGAAGGAAAGGCUGAUGGAAAUAAUUCACAAACACGGUCUUUAAACUUAGAGCGGAAAACGUACCCUUAUGGGCGAGCAAACAUUCAAACAAAACUGGGCACCAGCUGUCCGUCGAUGUCCUCAGUUGCCAGCUUUAAUGUAAAAGCUGGGCUUGGAGCAGGCCAGGCCCCUGCCACUCAAACAAAUCAAACACUGCAUUAUCUUCCUUCUGUGCCAGCUGUGAAGGAGGCAUAGAGCAAAGGAGAUUUGGUUGUGCCAUUUGCAGUGAACUUGGAGAACAAACGUUGCCUGAAUUUUUACCAAGAGAUUAGAGGUCAUAGGCCAUGGCAUUAACCAAGGACCACUACAACCCAACCAAAGACAACUUGGGGACUGUGUAAUGAACUCUUGAGAUGGAACAUAUAAGGGCUAGCAAUUCUGUUAGGAAAAGUAAAAACCUGGUUUUCUGGAAACGAGGAAUAUUUUCUUGGCAUGUUUAAAGGGUAAAUGAAAAAAAAACAAAAAA